rnacentral:lncRNA from 1 species
AGAGCAGGAUGUGUGCUUGGGUUUCACUUGGAAAAAACAUACAUCAUAUUGCAAUAUAAUUUACUUUGAGAUUUCAAUUUGGAAAAUGGCAUGGAAAUAAUCCAGCUUGAACAUCGUCCUCCUCACCUCCUGGACUAGGGCGAGGGCCCCUUAUAUUUCUUCAUGGCAAUUGUGUCACAGUUCAAACGCUCGUACCCUGACUCCAUCUGGGAUUUGGAAUGCACUCAGGGAAGUGGCUGUGCAUGGAGACUAGAAAUGGAAGAGGCUUCCAAGGUCAUGCCUUUCAGGCUCCCUUCAAAUUCUACAGCUACUGUGAAGAGAGUUGCAUUCCCACAGAGAACAUGUCAGACUGGAGGAAAAUUGUGACAAAAGGUCUCCCCAAAGAUCGAGGAAAGGAGGUUUGCCUGAAAAGGAGCCAGAGUGGUUCCGCCCAGACUGACGUGCUUCUGGCAGCCGGUGUGUACUGCUUGGUGACUGCUCUUUCAUUUCAGGUGGUGAUUUACCAAAUGCCGCUUUUUUUCUGUAUGACACAGGCGUGGCCAAACAUAGUCACCACUCAGAAUGUUGGGGAAGUUUCUCGUCCCCAUCAAACAGAGGGAGCAACCCUUGGUGGUUCAACAAUGAAGCCUCCAUUAGCUGAGAAGUCUAACUGUGAUUUAUCAUUCCCUACCUAUAAAGAUUGUAAACAAAUCAGGAAGCUUUCUGAGUCUCUUAGUCCUCUACUUCCAGGUAGAAGUGGUAAGAAUGUCAACCUUCCCUCACAACAUUGUAAGAAGGAAUGAUUAUUUGAAUUGAUUAUAAAAAGAUGCUCUGCAUUAUUCAUCAUUAGGGAAUUGCAAAUUAAAACAACAAGGAGAUAACGGCUACAUACCUAUUAGGACGGCUAAUAUCCAAAACGCUGACAGUACCAAAUGGUAGAGCAACAGGAACCCUCCUUCAUUGCUGGUGAAAAUGUAAAAUGGUUCGACCACUGUGGAAAACAGUUUGGCAGUUUUUUACAAAUCUAAACACACUUUUAUCAUAUCAUUCUGCAAUCAUGCUCCUUGAUAUUCUCCCAAAUGAGUUGAAAACUUAGGUCCACCCAGAAACCUCUGCACAAAAGUUUAUAGCAGCUUUAUUCAUAAUUGCCAAAACUUAGAAGCCACCAAGGUGUCCGUCAAUAGGUGAAUGGAUAAAUAAACUGUAGUAUAUUCAUACAGUGGAAUAGUAUUGAGCACUUAAAAAAGAAAAAGAGCUAUUAAGCCACAAAAAAGAAACGGAGGAAGCAUAAAGGCAUAUUACUAAGUGCAAGAAGCCAAUCUGAAAAGGCUACAGACUGUAUGAUUCCAACUAUAAGACAUUCUGGGGAGGUAAAAUUAUGCAGACAGUAAAGGAUCAGUGUUUGCCAGGGUUUUGGGAAGAUGGAAGGAGGAAUUAAUAGAUGGAACACGGGAUUUUUAAGCCAAUGGAACUAUAUUGAAUGACACUGAAAGGGUAGCUACAUGGCAUGAUAGAUCUGUCAAAGCCCACAGACUGUACAACACAAACAGUGAACCAUAUGUAAACUGUGGGCUUUGGUCACAAAGAGCGAACUGUAAUGUAAACUGUGGACUUUGGUUGAACAUGAGGCAUCAAUAUUACUUCAUCAGUUGUAACAAAACAUACUGUGACAUGUUGGUGGUGGAAGGGGCUGGGUGUGUGUUGGGGGAUGGUUAUGUGGAAACUGUACUUUCUGCUCAAUUUUAUUGUGAGCCUAAAACUUGUAAAAAAUGAAACUUAUUAAUUAAAACUAAAUCGAUUUUAAAAUCUAGAUAAAAGUUAUUAUGAAGCAGAAAGUGAAUAUAAUCAUAUAAUUAUAUAAAUUAAUAAAAAUAAUUGUUGAA